rnacentral:rRNA from 1 species
UACGAAGGGGCUAGCGUUGCUCGGAAUCACUGGGCGUAAAGGGUGCGUAGGCGGGUUUUUAAGUCAGAGGUGAAAUCCUGGAGCUCAACUCCAGAACUGCCUUUGAUACUGAAAGUCUUGAGUAUGGGAGAGGUGAGUGGAACUGCGAGUGUAGAGGUGAAAUUCGUAGAUAUUCGCAAGAACACCAGUGGCGAAGGCGGCUCACUGGCCUAUAACUGACGCUGAGGCACGAAAGCGUGGGGAGCAAACAGG